GACGAACGCUGGCGGCGUGCUUAACACAUGCAAGUCGAACGGAAAGGCCCUGCUUUUGUGGGGUGCUCGAGUGGCGAACGGGUGAGUAACACGUGAGUAACCUGCCCUUGACUUUGGGAUAACUUCAGGAAACUGGGGCUAAUACCGGAUAGGAGCUCCUGCUGCAUGGUGGGGGUUGGAAAGUUUCGGCGGUUGGGGAUGGACUCGCGGCUUAUCAGCUUGUUGGUGGGGUAGUGGCUUACCAAGGCUUUGACGGGUAGCCGGCCUGAGAGGGUGACCGGCCACAUGGGGACUGAGAUACGGCCCAGACUCCUACGGGAGGCAGCAGUGGGGAAUAUUGCACAAUGGGCGGAAGCCUGAUGCAGCAACGCCGCGUGCGGGAUGACGGCCUUCGGGUUGUAAACCGCUUUCGCCUGUGACGAAGCGUGAGUGACGGUAAUGGGUAAAGAAGCACCGGCCAACUACGUG
rnacentral:rRNA from 1 species